CCACACAUGCACACAUCUGCAGAAGUCUGUAACAUGACUACCUGGAGAGAGAGUACAUUGCUGGGAACUGCUUCUUAUUCUUCUUUAUAUUACUUUAUUAGCCAGAACUGGGCUGCAUGGAUUUGUCUUAUUAGAAUUAAACCCCAUGGAUCUGGUGGGAAAAAGAGAUGGAUCCUCACUGAGAUGGAUAAAAUUCCUCCAGCCCUCAGCAAACCUGCACCGAGAGACCUGGCAGCACCAGCUGGGAAAAGUUAUAACCAGAUUGGAGUGAGACAAUAAAAUAGUGGAUUGCGUAACUUUGGUAUUGACUCCAUUGUUUAGGUUGUAAGGUUCCUUUCUGAGCCUUACUCUGUCCUUCCCAUUUGUGACAUUAUUGGAUGUCAUCAGAUGGCGCUACUGCAGAUGAUUUUGAUAGUUCUGUUGAUCUGAACAUACAGGGAUUAUGUAGGGGGAAAUGCUUAUUUUCAGCUAUGAUGCCAUUCUUUUUAGGGCUGAGAAUAUCCCCAGCAAAAUUUCUUUUGUCUGAAUUUUGCCCUAAUCAAAAUUUAUUAAGUAGGUGUAGCUAAUGCAUACAGAUUUUCUCCACCGAAACAAAUAUUGUAUGGUACCAAAAUAUUACACCCGUGCCUUUCAUACAAUAAUUCCUUGUGGACUGAUAUUUUGUACGCUCAAAAAUCAAACAAAAUAUUUUCUUACUCUGCAAGGGGUGAAUAUUUUAGUUGUUAGUGUAGCGGGAGGGCUAAAUUAAACUAUCCUACCAAGAUGAGUGAAGCUGCGGCAGUGGCCACGUCUGACAAUGGAGAGCUGAGGAUAUCUCUUCGUGGCAGCAGUGUCCGUGAAAAUGUCCAGUGGGACCCUGAUCUCAAAUGGGACUUAUGAUGCUUCGGACCAUGUCACAGGACAGACACAGCCCUAGCAGCACUAAAAGAUGACCACCUCAUGGCAAAGGAUGGAGGCCACAUCUCAGUGCGGAUACUACUCUCUUGCUACAUAGCUUUUGGGACAGUCAGCCAAUACUGAGCCACUUACUGGUACAGCAGGAGUUAAAUAGCGCAGCACUGCAAUGGCUCCAAUCUUCCCUCAUCCAGAGAGUAGGGAGAGACUUCUCUUCCAUCAAGGCCCCCCUCCCCUUCCCUCCCACAUGGAAUCUCCCAGGGAUCCAUCCUGUACCCAUUCCUCUUCAAUACCUAUCUGAGAUGACAGAGAGAAAUAUUGAGAUGACAGGGGCUGUGCUGCCAACAUAACAUCACCCACCACCUCUAUAUUUCAUCUUCCACAGAAGCAACUAGUGCCAUUAAAAGGAUGCCACGAUGUCACCCUGCCUAGAAGGGGAUCAGCCCCUGAAUGAAAAACAGGUGGCUCAAACACAACCCACAUGAUGCUGGUUGGAAGGGGAAUAUGCUUCAGGGAAUUAACUGGAACACAGUCUUCUGCUUCCAUAGUAAGCAUCUACCCACAA